ACACACGUGCGUUUGGCUCAUGACUGUGCUGAACCGACUUGACCGGGCUCUUCCUCGUGAGGAAUACUAAUCAACCUGUUCCCUUUGCCGCCAACCGCACCGCGCGGCCGAAGCGAAGCAGCAACAGCGCGCGCAACUUAGACACCCGGGAUUCUUUUCCCUCUCUAUAGCAGUCUGUUUCGGGAAUCUUUUGCCAUUCAUAAAUUUUUCCUGGAGCCGUUCAACCCUUCUCAAAAGCUUUCGGUCAUCUCGCUGUAUUUGUAGUCAUAAAGUGUCUCGUGUGAGCGACCGGUUAUGGGAAAGAGACAGACAACUUGAACUGCGCUCCCGUUGGAAUUAGAUCAUAUUUUUCCCCCUUAGGAAAACCCCAACGCGUUGAACACACACACAGACACACACACACACACACACACACACACACACACACACACACACACACACACACACACACACACACACACACACACACACACACACACACACACACACACACACACACACACACACACACACAAAGACAGACACGAGCUUUUGGCGUCGGCGUGUAGAUGUGUUUCUGGCGGGGGGCGGCAAAGCGGUGGGCUCCGUUUUCAACAGUUGCCAGUUCGGGACCGAAGGGGAGAACGAGGGAAGAAUAACCGAACCACACGCGGAGCCUCACGCCGCUCCGCCGGCUCCCCGCUCUGAGAUGCAGUCGUUCAUCUCUCCGGUGACCAAGGCUAUCCUCGUGGCGCUUUUUAUCUUCGCCAUCCUCCUCAUCCUGUACGUGAUUCUUUGGUACAUUUGCAGAGACGUGGACUGUGAUCACGGCAUUUGAUCGCGGUUGUAACGUCGCGUUAUCAAAGGAAUAACAGAAGCGCCAGGACCCUUGUGCCAAGAUCCAGGGUCACCAAGGAGCCAGUAUGGGGUCUGAUAACAGUCGGACAGAUCCUUAAAGAGUGCAAAAGGGCCCACGGACCCCGUUCGGACGGUUCCUGGAUCUUGGAGUCCAUGGCCCUUUCUCCCUUCUCGCGAGGAGCCACGGCAGUUCAGCGCGGGCUUUGGGGGAUUGGGGGCACGGCCAGCCCGCCUGGCCAGGUCAGGGCGAUGACAUCACUGCCCUCCGCCCCCCUCCUGAGCCUCGGAAAGGCUGGCCGCAAAUAACACUGCGGUGCCUGACGGACAUGGGAGCGUAAACACAACCAGCCAGCGGAGCCAAAAGUAGACCGGAGAAGAAGAAGUAGAACGCCCCACAUGAUUCAUUCAUUCCAUCCAUGCCACUAAUAUCCCUCCCUGUUUUACAACUGGUCAGGGUUGUUGCUGCUCCAUAGCUCCUACAGCCAAACUAUCCAACAGCCCGCCUGUCCGGCCAUUACUAGAGGAUUGACGAACGGCCAAGUGAACAUGUUGUCGGUUUUGGUAGCUGUGUUUUUUUUCCCCACACUGUGAGCAUGCACACACAUGCACACACACACAGACACACACACACACACACACACACACACACACGCACGUCCACACACACACACACACACACACACACACACACACACACACACACACACACACGCACGUCCAUAUAAUUCAGUUACACACACACGCCCACCAAUGAAUACAUUCAAAAUGAUGAUUCGAUUUUAUUAUUUGCCCUUCCAGUUGAAUUCUUUUAAAACCCACUGGUUGGGAACGAGCCCUCGAUGACGUCCACGGCGUCAUGCGGAGGUACUGAUACGGUAUCUGUCUCCUGUCAGAGCACCCCGCCUCUCGUCUCGAUGACAUCCACAGUGAAGAUGAAAGAUUGAGGUUAACCCCCCCCCCCCCCCCCUCAAUAAAAAAUAGCUUCUCCCGCAAGCAUGGCACAUGCCAGACUUCGUCCUGAGAGAACUUUGGGAAUCUACGAUUUGGCCUCCCCCACUCUGGAGCAGUUUAGUUUCUGGCUUUGUGAUUUCAGACCACAAACAAAAAGGGGUGGAGUUGACAACGUAUGAAUGGCUGUCGUUGUUACCUUCUGUGCUGAAUCCUAAUCCCCGUCCCUAUUUUCUGUGUCAACAGUGGUUUGUGCAUGUGUGUGGUUGCGUGCGUGCGUGCGUGUGCGUGUUUUAUGCUUAUGAAUUAGCGAUUAGCAAUUCAUGGUGCCGGAUUGAAUUGAUGUUUAUUAAUAGCACAAUAAGGAAGGAUGCUGAUGGGCCAGUGUGUGCAGAGGAAGAGUGAGACAGGAAGAAGAAAGAGCUCUUUUGUUCUGGGUUUAAUUGUAUUCGUUUCGGUCUCAUAAGAACAACAAAAAACACAAACAGAAUUUACAUAAAACAUAAAAAGGCACACUGGAGGCAGGAUAUCCAGGCACUAGGAUUACUGCAGCCCUGCUGCAGCAAACUAUAAUCACAUACUUCACUAAUCUUGAAUACAGGUCUCGAAUAAUAACCCAACACACACACACACACACACACACACACACACACACACACACACACACACACACACACACACACACACACACACACACACACACACACACACACACACACACACACACAUAUGGGCACUCCCGUACAUUGCUAAAAUAUUGCAUCUCCACUGUGAAAAACCAUUUUUCCUGUGAAAAAUACACUGAAACUAAAAUGAGCGCGCCUAUGCUCGAUGAAUUAAUGGUGUCAACGUGUGAAAUUGUUGAAUAGCCAACUUCUGGUUUCUCGUACCGUAAUUUAGCCAUUGCGAAGCAAUAGUACUACUGUGACCGAUUAUUCAAAUGGUAGUGCAGCAAAGAUGAAAUGGAAAUUGCGGUUAAAUGCAUUAACUACAUACCACUUUAAACAUGGUUAUAGGACAAGAAUGAAAGAGUUUCAGCAGGGGACUUAUUCAAGUCAUCACGUUAGAUCAAUGAUUCGGCUUCUCUUCUGUUCGAUUAAACACUGCACCUUAGUAAUUGCAAAUAUUGUCAAAAUAUAUGGCAUUUAUCAUGGACUCAUUCCUCCAACACAUUCCUGUGUUGUACUGACUUCUCCGUGCCUGCCUGGGCUUUUUACUGUGAGGGCACGGCUGUAAAUAGGGAAUAACAGGAAUACAUCAACAAAACAGAAAACAAACUGUGUUAAACGGUCCACACGAACCAGCAUCAAUGACUGGUGAUAAAAACAAAGGCAAAGCCAGAGAAGUUAGUACCCCACAGAUCUUCCAGGCUAAGUUUAUUGACGCAGAUAGCAGGGCAAGGUUGCUGAAUCAUAAACAAGAAGAAGGUGUAAAUACAUAUUUGACAAGGACAAAAAAAAUGGAAAAGAAUAAUACUGAGCUAUAGUUGUUUCAAAUAUGCCGCAAUUGAUUGACUGUGAUAAUGCGAAUGAGUGUGUUCUCCCGACCGGCAUCGGACCGCAUUUAUAUUAAAUGUGUCCGUCCUGACGUCCCAUGAAUAAGAAAUGUUUAUGUGUAUAAGAAAUCUAAAGGUAUCACAAAAAUGCAGGAAAUAGAUGAACUGAGUCUCUGAUGGCCGGCAUGGGGACCAAACAUCCACAACCACGUGUGAACGUACGGCCAUCUUCCUUUCCCAUUCAAGGCUAAACAUGCACCUUUGACCUUUUGGUUUCUCUUGUUGUGGUAUUGAAUUUCUUUAGAGGGGGAAUAGGAAGAUGACGAUGAUGAUAAUGAUGAUGAUGUCAGCCUCAUCUCUGGUGUAAACCUUCAGUCUACCUAGGCCCUCUAAAAUAUGAAGAAAUGUGCUGCAAAUGUUUGUUUUUUUAACAAAUGUUUAAGAGUUUUUUGCUGUCGCAAUACGUGUUAUUGCCUUUUGCCGUGCGUAAGAUCCCCUGGCCGCUCCACGUGUAACUGUGAAUUUUCCAUGUAACCUGUAGAGAUUAACUUCUAGAAACUGUUGUACUGUUUGGGUCCUUUGCAUUGCUGUCAUUUCCUCUCUCAUUUGACUAAAGGGGGGCAGAUACAUGUGCUUGUGUGUUUUUGGAUGUAUCUGUUUGUGUGUGUGUGUGUGUGUGUGUGUGUGUGUGUGUGUGUGUGUGUGUGUGUGUGUGUGUGUGUGUGUGUGUGUGUGUGUUUGUGUGUGUGUGUGUGUGUGUGUGUGUGUGUGUGUGUGUGUGUGUGUGUGUGUGUGUGUGUGUGUGUGCAUGCAUGUGUAUGCUCACAUUUGUGUGUGCCUGUGUUUGUGUUUGUGUGUGUGCUUGCACAUGUGUUUAUUUGUGUGUGUGCUUGCUUGCAAAUGUAUGUGUGUGUGUGUGUGUGUGUGUGUGUGUAUGUAUGCAUGUGUGUGUGUGUAUGUAUGCAUGUGUGUGCUCACAUUUGUGUGCGUGUGUUUUUGUGUGCUUGCACAUGUGUUUGUGUGUGUGUGUGUGUGUGUGUGUGUGUGUGUGUGUGUGUGUGUGUGUGUGUGUGUGUGUGUGUGUGUGUGUGUGUGUGUGUGAGUGAAUACAUGUCUUGGCGUAAGUUGGAGGAUCGUGUCAAUGUUUCUUAUUUGUCAUUGGCUGUGAGAUCCCAGCGGCAGCCGACACCUUUUCUAUUUCCAAAGUCUCAAUAAACAUAUCAUUGUGCCA